rnacentral:misc_RNA from 1 species
GAUGAAGAACGUAGCGAAAUGCGAUAAGUAAUGUGAAUUGCAGAAUUCAGUGAAUCAUCGAAUCUUUGAACGCACAUUGCGCCCGUCAGUAUUCUGGCGGGCAUGCCUGUUCGAGCGUCAUUACGCCCCUCAAGUCCCCUGUGGACUUGGUGUUGGGGAUCGGCGAGGCUGGUUUUCCAGCACAGCCGUCCCUUAAAUUAAUUGGCGGUCUCGCCGUGGCCCUCCUCUGCGCAGUAGUAUAACACUCGCAACAGGAGCCCGGCGCGGUCCACUGCCGUAAAACCCCCCAACUUUUUAUAGUUGACCUCGAAUCAGGUAGGACUACCCGCUGAACUUAAGCAUAUCAAUAAGCGGAGGA